GACGAACGCUGGCGGCGUGCCUAAUACAUGCAAGUUGAGCGCUGAAGGUUGGUACUUGUACCGACUGGAUGAGCAGCGAACGGGUGAGUAACGCGUGGGGAAUCUGCCUUUGAGCGGGGGACAACAUUUGGAAACGAAUGCUAAUACCGCAUAAAAACUUUAAACACAAGUUUUAAGUUUGAAAGAUGCAAUUGCAUCACUCAAAGAUGAUCCCGCGUUGUAUUAGCUAGUUGGUGAGGUAAAGGCUCACCAAGGCGAUGAUACAUAGCCGACCUGAGAGGUGGUUCGCCACAAUGGGACUUGGACAAGGCCCAAACUCCUACGGGAGGCAGCAGUAGGGAAUCUUCGGCAAUGGACGAAAGUCUGACCGAGCAACGCCGCGUGAGUGAAGAAGGUUUUCGGAUCGUAAAACUCUGUUGGUAGAGAAGAACGUUGGUGAGAGUGGAAAGCUCAUCAAGUGACGGUAACUACCCAGAAAGGGACGGCUAACUACGUG
rnacentral:rRNA from 1 species